rfam:Brachypodium distachyon strain Bd21 chromosome 5, whole genome shotgun sequence.
GACAAUGGUGAUGGGUUCUUGCAGACCUGUAAUGAUUCUUGUGGAAAUGAUCACAUGGUUCAAAGAACAUCUAAGGGACUGAGUGGUC